GGCCCUAUGACGCAAUGGUUCAGCGUGUCGAGUUUCUAUUGCGUCUCUUUUGACAGCGGCAGACCUCGGAAGUUCUGGGUUCGAGUCCCAGUGGGGUCU